AGUCUCUGCUGAUGUGACCUGCUGCAGUUUAGUCAACGAAAUAUUCUAGCUGGUUUAAACUCGCACCGAGGACGAUAUGGAAUUCAUUUGGACAUUUUAAACAUUUAUGUCUUCAAGAAGGCCCGUGCAUAGUGUCACUUUUCAAAGGUCAUCAUGGAUUCGCUGUAGUUCAGUGGCUUUUCUCCAGACAGUGUGACUGACAGCAGGAACUGGGACAAGGGACUUUGGUGCUACUAACGUUAGCUAGCAACGUAACUUAGCUAGACGUUUUGACACAGCGUUACUGCUGAGAGAGUUGUUGUCUAGCGUUGGCGUUAGCCCUCAGCUGUCGUUGGCUGCUGCUUGCUAAUGUGUAGCUAUAGUUAUUGCCUCCCAGUGGUGGAAAAAGUAUUCAAAUCUUUUAACGAUUCCUGGAGUGGUUUGAGAUCCUUGAGAGAUUCUCAAGGCAGCAUGGCUCCCAAAGACAUCAUGACCAACUCCCAUGCCAAAUCCAUCCUCAAUGCCAUGAACUCACUUCGCAAGAGCAACACACUCUGUGAUAUCACUCUGAGAGUGGAGAACACAGAUUUUCCAGCUCACCGGAUUGUCUUGGCUGCCUGCAGCGACUACUUUUGUGCCAUGUUCACCAGUGAGCUUGCAGAAAAGGGGAAAUCUUUUGUCGACAUUCAGGGGCUCACUGCAGCGACUAUGGAGAUCCUGUUAGACUUUGUGUACACAGAAACAGUGUUAGUCACAGUGGAGAACGUACAAGAACUGCUUCCUGCAGCGUGCUUACUUCAGCUCAAAGGGGUAAAAAGAGCAUGUUGUGAUUUUUUGGAGGGUCAGCUUGAUCCCUCCAACUGCCUGGGCAUUCGAGACUUUGCCGAAACUCACACCUGCCUCGACCUGAUGCAGGCCGCCGAGCUCUUUUCCCAGAAGCAUUUCUCCGAGGUGGUUCAGCAUGAGGAGUUCAUGCUGCUCAGCCAGACAGAAGUUGAAAAGCUCAUCAAAUGUGAUGAAAUCCAGGUGGACUCAGAGGAGCCUGUAUUUGAAGCUGUGUUAAACUGGGUCAAACACAACCGAAAAGAGCGAGAGCCCUACUUGCCAGACAUGCUCGAGUUUGUCCGAAUGCCGCUCCUCACCCCCCGCUAUAUUACAGAUGUCAUCGAUGCCGAGCCCCUCAUUCGGUGUAGCCUGCCAUGUCGAGACCUUGUCGAUGAAGCCAAGAAAUUCCACUUAAGACCAGAGCUAAGGAGUGAGAUGCAGGGCCCACGCACACAAGCUAGAUUAGGUGCCAAAGAAGUCCUGUUGGUUAUAGGCGGGUUUGGCAGCCAGCAAUCACCAAUAGACAUAGUUGAGAAAUAUGACCCGAAAACACAAGAAUGGAGCUCCCUUCCUAACAUUGCACGGAAAAGGCGAUAUGUCGCCACGGUGUCUCUCCACGAUCGGGUUUAUGUGAUCGGAGGCUACGAUGGCCGUUCUAGGCUCAGCUCCGUGGAGUGCCUGGACUACACAGCGGACGAGGACGGUGUUUGGUACACUGUCGCCACCAUGAAUGUGCGCCGUGGCCUCGCUGGAGCCACGACACUCGGAGACAUGAUCUAUGUUGCCGGUGGCUUCGAUGGCAGCAGGCGUCACACCAGCAUGGAGCGAUAUGACCCAAACAUUGACCAGUGGAGCAUGCUGGGAGAUAUGCAGACAGCUAGAGAAGGAGCUGGUCUGGUGGUGGCCAGUGGACUCAUAUACUGUCUAGGUGGAUACGAUGGCCUAAAUAUCCUGAAUUCAGUGGAGCGGUAUGACCCACACACAGGCCACUGGACAAGUGUUACACCAAUGGCCACCAAGCGGUCAGGUAGGGGCGGGUGUGGCUUUACUCAACGACCACAUCUACGUAGUGGGAGGCUUUGAUGGUGUUUCACACCUCGACUCUGUUGAGGUUUACAACAUCAGAACAGACUAUUGGACCACUGUAGCCAGCAUGACGACGCCUCGGUGUUACGUAGGAGCAACUGUUCUCAGAGGACGUCUCUACGCCAUCGCUGGAUAUGAUGGGAACUCUCUCCUCAGCAGCAUUGAAUGUUACGACCCAGUUAUCGACUCCUGGGAGGUCGUCACCUCGAUGGCGACGCAGCGGUGUGACGCUGGCGUCUGCGUUCUACGAGAAAAGUGAUCUUUCCAAGAACAAGAACCACAAGAGCGAGGGGGAAAAAAGAGCAUAUGGGAAACGGGCAGCUAGACUUUGCUAAAAUGCCACUAAAAGAGAGCCACACAAUAGGGAGAUGUGUGUUUGCCUGAAUGCAAAUAAGUACUCUCGAAAACAGAAUAGGUGCAGCAGUUUGGGCUGCCUUCUCUACUGGAUGGUCAACCCUUCGACAGUUGGACUGUGCAACGGAGAUUCAGCUUCGCCGUGGUGGUCUUCACCUCAAAAGAGGCCUCCAAGGAGCCCAUCGCCACAUGCAUGACUCUCUUCGGUGGUACUUGUUGCUUUCGUUACCUGUGAGAUUAUUUUUUCAUUUUGUCUUAAAAGUGCAAUAUAUUUCUACUCAUCAUAACAGAAAAAAGAUGGAGUUGAUUUAGACUCCAGUUGCUGCUAUAUGCCUUAUAACUUUGGCCUACAUCAAACAGUGAACAUCCGUGUUGCCUCCCCUUUGACUUUGAUGAUAGUUCCAGUACAUUGGCUUAUUAUCGAUUGUACUCAUUUGGCAUUUGUAAGGUCCUUAAUGGGUCGGUAAUUCAAGCCCUUUUGUAAUUCUUUCUGUAAACAGUGCUUCUAGAUUCACACACAGACGGUUUAUUAAGUAUUGUUGCUCAGAAUAUAAAUUUAGAGAUCAAUAUUGUUUUAGAAAAUGACUGAAUUGUACCAGUUGACUUAGGUUAUUUUGUCCCUGAAAAAUCACAAAGUAAUAAGUAUGAGGUGCAUGUGAUUUUUUUUUUUUUAUUUUCUUCCUCAGCUCAUAAAUCUGGGUAUCGUCGUGUAGGACACAAAAUCCCUGCAUCACUGUUGCCUGCGAAGUGAAUAAAAACACUUAGAACUGA